GUGACUAAGUUCAACGGCCGCGGUAUCCUGACCGUGCAAAGGUAGCAUAAUCAUUUGCCUUUUAAUUGAAGGCUAGUAUGAAUGGACACACGAAACUAAAACUGUCUCAUCACUACCUCUAAAAAUUAGCUUUCAGGUGAAGAUACCUGAAUUAUUUUAAAAGACAAGAAGACCCCGUAGAGUUUUAGACUCUUUGUUUUUCCUCUACUCCAAGAGUCUUUGGUUGGGGCGACCAAGGAUUACCUAAAACAUCCUUAACUCCAUUGAGCCAUUGCUCUAAUCCUAGACCCUAUUUUAUUGAUUCUCAAAAUUAACUACCUCGGGGAUAACAGGCUUAUCUUCUUAGAGAGCUCAUAUUGAUAAGAAGGUUUGGCACCUCGAUGUUGGCUUAGAGUACCCUGAAAAUGCAGAAGUUUUCUAAGGUUAGUUUGUUCAACUAUUAAAACUCUACGUGAUCUGAGUCAGACCGGA
rnacentral:rRNA from 1 species